rnacentral:sRNA from 1 species
UGUGCACACGGACAUGCACAGGCUUCCAGGAGAGCCAAGACAUCGCAAGACGCGAUUCAUCAGAAGAUGUUUNGGACAAGCAGACUACGAAAUUUUGGCGGUUCAACCGCCCUUUUUUG